UACGAAGGGGGCUAGCGUUGUUCGGAUUUACUGGGCGUAAAGCGCACGUAGGCGGAUCUUUAAGUCAGAGGUGAAAUCCCAAGGCUCAACCUUGGAACUGCCUUUGAUACUGGGGAUCUUGAGUCCGGGAGAGGUGAGUGGAACUGCGAGUGUAGAGGUGAAAUUCGUAGAUAUUCGCAAGAACACCAGUGGCGAAGGCGGCUCACUGACCCGGUACUGACGCUGAGGUGCGAAAGCGUGGGGAGCAAACAGG
rnacentral:rRNA from 1 species